GAACUAUCUCCCUAGUCUGGACCCUUCCUUGGUCCUCCUGUCAAAGAAAAGGAUCUCUUCCCGCCCAGGGGAAAAGCUACUCCAUUCAUAAAUAUCAGCUAUUCCUUUGUGAUAAAGGUGGAUAUGAAGAUGGAGGGGCCCGUGUGCUGAUGGGAUGUGCUGAAAGGCUCUGUGCAUGCCAGCUCUUACUGGGAAGCUGAUAUGUAGACCAGGCUGGCCUUGAACUCACAGAGGUCUGUCUGCCUGUGCCUUAUGCAUGCUGGAAUUAAAAGACGAAACAUUUACAACAAGGGACAGACAACUAAAGACUGAGCUACAACUAACCAUAUCUCCAGGAGCUUAAGCCAGGGCUCCCACCUAUUGUUCCAAAGGCAAACAAUGAAAACCUAACCAAGAAUGGGUGAAGUUUACCUCAAUCUAUCAUAAUUUUAGGUUUCUAGGGGUGUCUGAUAAGCAUUUACAUUUUCAAAAGGUUUUGAAACAAAGCUCUUAUACCCUCUUAUUUGCCCUAAAAAACAAGCAACCCAUUAAAAGAAAGAGGUAUUUGGACCACUGCCCUGUUUUUGACAUUUAUGAUACCUCUGGCUUCUAUCUCCUUUUCUUAUUAUUUUAAAUUUUAACAUUGCAGCUACAAGGCAAAGUCUGUUGCUAAAUAUACUAGUUAUUUUCCCCAUUGCUGUGACAAAUACCUAAUGAAAGCAACUUUAGGAAGGAGGUUUAUUUGGGGAUAUAGUUGCAAUGGUUUACAACUAGCUCCAUUUCAAACUAAGUUACUGUGUUAAAAAGAAAAACCUAGAAAUGGAAUGGAAAGGACCUACUUCUUAGCCUAAGGAUUGUUAACCACAGGAUGUUUAGAACAUGACCCUAAGGUCAGCCCUGUUAGCUUGAGUCUUGACAGCAAUUUUUUUUUUUUUUUUGGUUUUUCAAGGCAGGGUUUCUCUGUGUAGCUUUGGAGCCUAUCCUGGCACUCGCUCUGGAGACCAGGCUGGCCUCUAACUCACAGAAAUCCACCUACCUCUGCCUCUCGAGUGCUGGGAUUAAAGGCGUGUGCCACCAACGCCCGGCUUUGACAGCAUUCUUAAAGUGAAAACUGAUCUCAGAGCCACUGGCUCAUCUCCCAAAAUUAUUCUCUUUUCCCCUUAUUAUGUAAUUGUUAUUCUAAAAUAUUAAUCCGAUAUUCAUUCUGCUUCUGUAAUCUUGCUUACCCAUUGUUUGCUCUGGAAAAACAAACAAAAAACAUGAUAAUGCCUCACAUAGCAGAAAAUUGAGCUCUUUCUCAAAAAAACUGAGACAGUUGUACUUUAUACCUUUAAAAACCCAGCCCUCCUUCCCCUUUUGUAUCAGCUCUCAGAUUUGCA